UACAGAGGUCUCAAGCGUUGUUCGGAUUCAUUGGGCGUAAAGGGUGCGUAGGCGGCGCGGUAAGUCGGGGUGUGAAAUCUCGGAGCUUAACUCCGAAACUGCAUUCGAUACUGCCGUGCUUGAGGACUGGGAGAGGAGACUGGAAUUUACGGUGUAGCGGUGAAAUGCGUAGAUAUCGUAAGGAAGACCAGUGGCGAAGGCGGGUCUCUGGGCAGUUCCUGACACUGAGGCACGAAGGCCAGGGGAGGCAAACGGG
rnacentral:rRNA from 1 species